AGACACCAGGAAUUAUCCGUCACUUAGUCAGUUAAAAGAUGUGGAAAAUUCACCUGGUAUUGGAGAAUAUGAGAUUCAACGGGGCCAAAAUGACAGUUUUAGAAACCUAGAUCCGAAUAGACCAUUAUCCCCAACCCUUCAAAAUGCACUGUCGGAAUACGAAGGCGACAUCUUGACCUCCGAUGAUGAAACUUUGGAACAAGACGUUGAAAUGAACCCAGAGUCAAGCUGUAGAGGAACGAAUGGUGUAUUAACAUGUAACAUCCAGAAGAAAAAUACUUGUAACAAUUCCUUUGAUCAUGAAGACGACGGAAAGCUUCAGGGUUACACCAAUGAAUGUAAGCUAAAUUAUGCCGAGGCCAAAAAAGAACCUAGCCAGAAAACUACAAAACCAGAGAUUAAAACAAUGAAGAUUCCCUUUACAGAAAAAUGUUACUCGUCAGAAGAGGUCACACAGUUUCUAAAACAUCCCAAAGAAGAAGAGGAAACGUUUGACAAUGUUAUGGCAAUGAAUAGGCGACCUGAUAGAGAGAUUUGCUCCAGCGAAUGUGAUACUGAUGUUGAAAUUACUUUGAAAGCAUCUGGUCUCCAGAAAUCUAAACCAGUUAUAAGAACUGUAGAGAAAGCUCUGAAAGCGGACUCACCAGAGACUCGUCUGCAUGGACUCGAUACCAUAAUCUGUGUUGACUUAUCGGCCAGCAUGUCGAACAAAGUUUUGGAACAAAUACAGGCGACCAUAUGCUGCUUUCUGGACAUUGUGGAGGAUAUUGCGAUUGAUGUUGGUUUGGAAGAGAAUUUGGGAUUAGUCACUUUCAGCAAAGAAACGCAAAUAUGCGUUCAACUAACAAACGACUACGGCAAAAUCAGAGGCGCAAUCGAAAACCUAAAACCCAGUGGAACAUCUCCUUUGCACACAGCGUUAUCUCUUUGUCGACUCGAACUGGAACGCAAUGGACAUGCUACAUGUAUACACGAACACUGCAUAGCACCACGUAUCAUAUUGUUCACUGACGGACGACCAACCAGAGAUUUACAAAUGGAUGAUUCGGACUCCGAGUAUGCACCAAAAGAUCAACAGACGUUGGACGAUAUAUCGUCUUUUGUUCAACAAAUGGGAUCAGAAGGAAUCCAACUAUUUACUGUAGGAACAGGAAGACAGACAAACAAGGACUUUUUAGAAAGACUAGCACAUCUUGGAGGUGGGCAAUAUCAUGAAUUGGACAACAUUACAAUGCUUGCAAAAUAUUUCAGAGACCAGUUCAUCGUUGGGAAAGUGAUACAUGAACAUAGAGAAAGUGGAUGGAAGGAAGACUAUAAGGCAGAGUUACAGAGAAUUCUAAACACAAACACUUUUAGGCUUGACAAUGAAGAUAUCGUAUGUUUAUUACAACAGAUUCUGACAAAUGAAUAGAAAGAAUUGAAGAGUUUUUACUGCAGUCAGAAGAAUUGUUUGAUUCUGAGUACCCGGGGCUUCCGAAACUUGGAUCACGUGUUCAAACUAAGGACGGCCGAUGUGGAACUGUAGUAAGACAUAGAAAACAAAAUUGGAUUAAAAUACACUUUGACGAAAAUGACGAAAUAAUGUAUUUUCACUUCAUACCAAAUGCUAAUAAUAAUGGGAUACAAAUAAUAAAGCCCCCUCGAAGACAGGAAACUCGCUCUACUGCAUAUGUCGGACUGCUUAUAUACAAAUACGAUCGUUUCAACAAAAUCAAAGGAUGGGGGUAUUUGUAUGACAGAACAGAGUCGGGAUAUUUAAAGGUAAAAUGGGAGGAUGGUUCAAAGGACAUAGUGAAAGCUAACGAUCUAUAUAAAAAUGAAUGUUACCGAUCGUUUGAUUCGAUGUACGUAAAAGAAACAUAAAGAAAAAGAAAGAUUCAAAUAAGUCCAUUAUAUGUAUUUGUAACCAAACUUGUCAUAAAAAGAUAACAAUUUAUUUCAAAAUAUUCUAUGGCUUGUAUAACUUCAUUUGAAUUUUUAAACCAUAAAUGACUUGUUUGUAACUAACUUUUGUUCUUAGUAGCGGAUGAUAGUAUCUUCAAUAUAAUAUCGUCUAUUACCAUAUUUUAUUGUGUAAAACAUGAUAAUAUUACACUUUAUAAGAUGAAUCAAUGAAAUUUUGUCAUUAUCUGUCCUACUAUCUUAAAUAGCUGACCUCCAGCAACAUCUUGUUUUGGUCUUUUGCUCUCUUGACUGUUUUCAUAAUCAUUGGUUGUAAUGUUACUACUAUCUGUGUGUAGUUUGAUAAAAUGGAGUGACAGUGUGACUAGUGUUUCUUGACGUUUAUAUUAAAAUAAUUUAUCUAUAUAC
rnacentral:misc_RNA from 1 species